GGGUUGUGAGGUUAAGCGACUAAGCGUACACGGUGGAUGCCCUGGCAGUCAGAGGCGAUGAAGGGCGUGCUAAUCUGCGAUAAGCGCCGGUAAGGUGAUAUGAACCGUUAUAACCGGCGAUACCCGAAUGGGGAAACCCAGUGUGACUCGUCACACUAUCAUUAACUGAAUCCAUAGGUUAAUGAGGCGAACCGGGGGAACUGAAACAUCUAAGUACCCCGAGGAAAAGAAAUCAACCGAGAUUCCCCCAGUAGCGGCGAGCGAACGGGGAGGAGCCCAGAGCCUGAAUCAGCAUGUGUGUUAGUGGAAGCGUCUGGAAAGGCGCGCGAUACAGGGUGACAGCCCCGUACACAAAAGCGCAUGUGCUGUGAGCUCGAUGAGUAGGGCGGGACACGUGGUAUCCUGUCUGAAUAUGGGGGGACCAUCCUCCAAGGCUAAAUACUCCUGACUGACCGAUAGUGAACCAGUACCGUGAGGGAAAGGCGAAAAGAACCCCGGCGAGGGGAGUGAAAAAGAACCUGAAACCGUGUACGUACAAGCAGUGGGAGCACCCUUUGGGGUGUGACUGCGUACCUUUUGUAUAAUGGGUCAGCGACUUAUAUUCUGUAGCAAGGUUAACCGAAUAGGGGAGCCGGAGGGAAACCGAGUCUUAAUUGGGCGUUAAGUUGCAGGGUAUAGACCCGAAACCCGGUGAUCUAGCCAUGGGCAGGUUGAAGGUUGGGUAACACUAACUGGAGGACCGAACCGACUAAUGUUGAAAAAUUAGCGGAUGACCUGUGGCUGGGGGUGAAAGGCCAAUCAAACCGGGAGAUAGCUGGUUCUCCCCGAAAGCUAUUUAGGUAGCGCCUCGUGAAUUCAUCUCCGGGGGUAGAGCACUGUUUCGGCUAGGGGGCCAUCCCGGCUUACCAACCCGAUGCAAACUGCGAAUACCGGAGAAUGUUAUCACGGGAGACACACGGCGGGUGCUAACGUCCGUCGUGAAGAGGGAAACAACCCAGACCGCCAGCUAAGGUCCCAAAGUCAUGGUUAAGUGGGAAACGAUGUGGGAAGGCCCAGACAGCCAGGAUGUUGGCUUAGAAGCAGCCAUCAUUUAAAGAAAGCGUAAUAGCUCACUGGUCGAGUCGGCCUGCGCGGAAGAUGUAACGGGGCUAAACCAUGCACCGAAGCUGCGGCAGCGACGCUGAUGCGUUGUUGGGUAGGGGAGCGUUCUGUAAGCCUGCGAAGGUGGCCUGUGAGGGUUGCUGGAGGUAUCAGAAGUGCGAAUGCUGACAUAAGUAACGAUAAAGCGGGUGAAAAGCCCGCUCGCCGGAAGACCAAGGGUUCCUGUCCAACGUUAAUCGGGGCAGGGUGAGUCGACCCCUAAGGCGAGGCCGAAAGGCGUAGUCGAUGGGAAACGGGUUAAUAUUCCCGUACUUGGUGUUACUGCGAAGGGGGGACGGAGAAGGCUAUGUUGGCCGGGCGACGGUUGUCCCGGUUUAAGCGUGUAGGUGUGUGUUCCAGGUAAAUCCGGUUCACUUUAACACUGAGGCGUGACGACGAGGCACUACGGUGCUGAAGCAACAAAUGCCCUGCUUCCAGGAAAAGCCUCUAAGCAUCAGGUAACAUCAAAUCGUACCCCAAACCGACACAGGUGGUCAGGUAGAGAAUACCAAGGCGCUUGAGAGAACUCGGGUGAAGGAACUAGGCAAAAUGGUGCCGUAACUUCGGGAGAAGGCACGCUGACACGUAGGUGAAGUGAUUUACUCAUGGAGCUGAAGUCAGUCGAAGAUACCAGCUGGCUGCAACUGUUUAUUAAAAACACAGCACUGUGCAAACACGAAAGUGGACGUAUACGGUGUGACGCCUGCCCGGUGCCGGAAGGUUAAUUGAUGGGGUCAGCGCAAGCGAAGCUCCUGAUCGAAGCCCCGGUAAACGGCGGCCGUAACUAUAACGGUCCUAAGGUAGCGAAAUUCCUUGUCGGGUAAGUUCCGACCUGCACGAAUGGCGUAAUGAUGGCCAGGCUGUCUCCACCCGAGACUCAGUGAAAUUGAACUCGCUGUGAAGAUGCAGUGUACCCGCGGCAAGACGGAAAGACCCCGUGAACCUUUACUAUAGCUUGACACUGAACAUUGAGCCUUGAUGUGUAGGAUAGGUGGGAGGCUUUGAAGUGUGGACGCCAGUCUGCAUGGAGCCGACCUUGAAAUACCACCCUUUAAUGUUUGAUGUUCUAACGUGGACCCGUGAUCCGGGUUGCGGACAGUGUCUGGUGGGUAGUUUGACUGGGGCGGUCUCCUCCUAAAGAGUAACGGAGGAGCACGAAGGUUGGCUAAUCCUGGUCGGACAUCAGGAGGUUAGUGCAAUGGCAUAAGCCAGCUUGACUGCGAGCGUGACGGCGCGAGCAGGUGCGAAAGCAGGUCAUAGUGAUCCGGUGGUUCUGAAUGGAAGGGCCAUCGCUCAACGGAUAAAAGGUACUCCGGGGAUAACAGGCUGAUACCGCCCAAGAGUUCAUAUCGACGGCGGUGUUUGGCACCUCGAUGUCGGCUCAUCACAUCCUGGGGCUGAAGUAGGUCCCAAGGGUAUGGCUGUUCGCCAUUUAAAGUGGUACGCGAGCUGGGUUUAGAACGUCGUGAGACAGUUCGGUCCCUAUCUGCCGUGGGCGCUGGAGAACUGAGGGGGGCUGCUCCUAGUACGAGAGGACCGGAGUGGACGCAUCACUGGUGUUCGGGUUGUCAUGCCAAUGGCACUGCCCGGUAGCUAAAUGCGGAAGAGAUAAGUGCUGAAAGCAUCUAAGCACGAAACUUGCCCCGAGAUGAGUUCUCCCUGAGACUUAGAGUCUCCUGAAGGAACGUUGAAGACGACGACGUUGAUAGGCCGGGUGUGUAAGCGCAGCGAUGCGUUGAGCUAACCGGUACUAAUGAACCGUGAGGCUUAACCUUACAACGCCGAAG
rnacentral:rRNA from 1 species